rnacentral:rRNA from 1 species
GACGAACGCGGCGGCGUGCCUAAUACAUGCAAGUAGAACGCUGAAGGAGGAGCUUGCUUCUCUGGAUGAGUUGCGAACGGGUGAGUAACGCGUAGGUAACCUGCCUGGUAGCGGGGGAUAACUAUUGGAAACGAUAGCUAAUACCGCAUAAUAGCAGUUAUUGCAUGAUAACUGUUUGAAAGGUGCAAUUGCACCACUACCAGAUGGACCUGCGUUGUAUUAGCUAGUUGGUGGGGUAACGGCUCACCAAGGCAACGAUACAUAGCCGACCUGAGAGGGUGAUCGGCCACACUGGGACUGAGACACGGCCCAGACUCCUACGGGAGGCAGCAGUAGGGAAUCUUCGGCAAUGGACGGAAGUCUGACCGAGCAACGCCGCGUGAGUGAAGAAGGUUUUCGGAUCGUAAAGCUCUGUUGUAAGAGAAGAACGAGUGUGAGAAGUGGAAAGUUCACCACUGUGACGG